UUAAAACAGACACCAAGGAACAUCUCAAUUCCACUUUAAGUGGUUACUUUAUGCUUGAAAGAAUUUAGUUCUGCUGCCUUUCUACAGUUGCAAAUUACAAAACUGUCUGCAAGAAUCUAACUUCCCCAAACUAACAAUUCAGAUUAACUAACCUUUUACGAGAGUAUAUGUAAGGUUUCUUUUAACUUGCAGCAUGAAACCAAGAGAAAAUGUUCAUGGCAUACCUGGGACAGCAGUUCUACAAGAAGGAACAAUGGGAAAACUCUCCAUAUUUGAAAAUCUCCUUAUUCAGAAUUAGGACUGCAGAGUCAUCAAAAACAGAGGGGAAAAGAGGCUUCUGAGAAAUACAGUACCUUAUUUCUUCAAAAUGCAAAGCCAAUGAUACCUAUUUUCUUUUGUAGAAGAUGUUCCCUUAUUGAUUUAAGGGUCUCCAGCAAAGAGGUCAUGGAUAACCUCCGGUCAGCAUUUUCUCUGAAAAAGUAUAUCAUCACAUGCAGUACACCUGCCAAGGCCCUACAACAAAACAACUUGUUGUCUUAAAGUAACUUAGUACAUAUCGCCUAGGAUGCUUGCCUCUUUCUCCAAAGCCACAAAGGAGACAAUGUUGUGGUAGAUGGCCAGCCCUCGCCUGACAUUAAACUGACAAGGUCUUGACUCUGGUUGUGAAGGCCAAUGAAUAGUUCUGGAGAAGUAUUUCUGCAGUGAAAAUAAAGGAUUCUUCCAGUGCUCUAAAUUAUUGACUUCUAUAAAUACUGAAAACCUUAUAAUCACUACAAAAGAGAAAAUGAAACACAUAUAUGCAAACACAGAGACAGAGAGAGUUCACCUUUUCCUCGAACUGCAAAAAUCAAAACAAACAAGGCAAAAGACAUCACAGGAAACUGUGAAAAUCUGUUUUAUACCAUAAGACUAUAUAGUCUUAGUUAAUAUUUGAUCAAUAUUUUCCUAUUUUUACCAAGAAGAAACUGUAUUGUUUUAGUAGAAGACAAGAAAUGCUUGUAUUAGUUUUAAAAAAGAUUAAAAAGAAAGAGCAAAUGAAAUUAAAAAAGAAAAACAACACUCUUUGAAGUAGUUUUUCUGUACUGAGAAUCACCUAAUUUACUGUUUCACAAAAGGCAUACAGCAAUCCAGCAAUGUGUCUUUUAGAAAAUUGAGUUCCCAGUCUAACCGCCUGCUGAUAACACAGAAUCAAGUGCUUUUCAAGUCCCUAGAGAACUGUAAUAAAUUACAUCAGGCAGAAUAAAAAGUUAUAGUACUGGGAAAGUGGUGACUGUAAACAUUUUUCAUAACCAAUAAAAUAAUGCACAACCUGGCUCAGUCCCCCUUUCUCCUGAGAUCUACACAGGUAGUACAGAUGCUUGGAGCCACAGCUGUAGCUGUGGUACUUACUAAAUAACUUAAAUUUUUAUAAUACCUGUAUAGCUGUUAAAUAAUUGUAGUUGUGGACAAACUGGCACUGCACAGGCUGGGGUAACUCUCCAUACAAGAGAAUAACCCAGUGUUUGCUGCUGUCAGUCCUGACUUAAAUAUUCAAGGCCUGACAUUAAAGUUCUG